CACCGCACCGCGACCGCGCAUGGGAAAAAACAGCGAGGGUCAGGCGAGCGCACUGCACCAUGCGAGGGAAAAGACCACCGCUCCACGUCGUGAGGCCCGCGCCCGUCCGGUUUCUCCUCCAUCCCCGUGCCCUCGUCUCCAACCCUAAAUCUUUUCCCCCUCCCCUACAGCCGCCUUCCCAAGCUCCUCAUCCCCUCCACUCCCUCGACAACGGUGGCGGCGGCGGCCUCUGGUGGCGGAGGAGGAGGGGGGAGAUGGCGGCGGCGGCUUCCUCUGGUGGCGGAGGAGGGGGGAGAUGGCGGCGGCGGCUCCCUCUGGUGGCGGAGGAGGGGGGAGAUGGCGGCGGCGGCUCCCUCUGGUGGCGGAGGAGGGGGAAGAUGGUGGCGGCGGCGCCCUCUGGUGGCGGAGGAGGAGGCCCCUGCCAUGGUGUCUCAGCUCUAGGCCCUCCUGCUUGACCGUGACACCCACCCUCAAGAUCCACUCGACAGAUCACGCGGCUGGCUCUCGAGCUCUACUGCGAUCCCCGAGGAUGUGCUAAGGAUGUGAAGGUCCAUCCCCGGCCCAUGGCUGCUGCCAGAUUAGGCUGGUUGAGGCUCGACUUUUUGUUUUGGAGGUUGCUGCUCGUCGUUGGUUAUAUGGGGAGGCGUUUUGGUGGUCCAAGUUUCCUAGGCAGUGCUUUUGCUGGCAGGGAAAGUUCAGAGGAAUAUGCUUUGAGAGGUGUCAUAAUAUGAAAGGAAACAAUUAGUUCUGCCCAAGGGUGUUUCUUUGUACCGGGGCAUUGUCUCCAUAUGCUAGAUGAAAUCCAUGCCUC